UACGUAGGGUGCGAGCGUUGUCCGGAAUUAUUGGGCGUAAAGAGCUCGUAGGCGGUUUGUCACGUCUGCUGUGAAAUCCCGAGGCUCAACCUCGGGCCUGCAGUGGGUACGGGCAGACUGGAGUGCGGUAGGGGAGAAUGGAAUUCCUGGUGUAGCGGUGGAAUGCGCAGAUAUCAGGAGGAACACCGGUGGCGAAGGCGGGUCUCUGGGCAACAACUGACGCUGAGGAGCGAAAGCGUGGGGAGCAAACGGG
rnacentral:rRNA from 1 species